rnacentral:rRNA from 1 species
CGCGAAACCUUUACACUGCACGCAAGUGCGAUAAGGGGACCCCGAGUGCGAGGGCAUACAGUCCUCGCUUUUGUACACCGUAAGGAGGUGUACGAAUAAGGGCUGGGCAAGACCGGUGCCAGCCGCCGCGGUAAUACCGGCAGCCCGAGUGAUGGCCGCUAUUAUUGGGCCUAAAGCGUCCGUAGCCGGCCGGACAAGUCCGUCGGGAAAUCCGCACGCUCAACGUGCGGGCGUCCGGCGGAAACUGUCCGGCUUGGGGCCGGAAGAUCCGAGGGGUACGUCCGGGGUAGGAGUGAAAUCCCGUAAUCCUGGACGGACCGCCGGUGGCGAAAGCGCCUCGGAAGGACGGACCCGACGGUGAGGGACGAAAGCCAGGGUCUCGAACCGGAUUAGAUACCCGGGUAGUCCUAGCCGUAAACGAUGCUCGCUAGGUGUGGCACAGGCUACGAGCCUGUGCUGUGCCGUAGGGAAGCCGUGAAGCGAGCCGCCUGGGAAGUACGUCCGCAAGGAUGAAACUUAAAGGAAUUGGCGGGGGAGCACUACAACC